UUCCCCGUGCCCUACGCGAUGGGGAGUGCUGGGGGACCAGAGCCGCCCCCGGGGGUGGGGGUCUAGCGAAGCUUGUGUGGUCUAAAAAAAAUUCCACAUUCACCAUGUAUAUAUGUAAUUACUGAUUUUUGCUGAUCUCUACCGUAUUCUCUCUAGGUGCUUCUCUUUUUACCCCCACAGCUGAAGAAAAUAAGAUUCCUAUAACCUUUCCCAUGUGGACUUCUGGUCUGACUUUUCGUCCUGACGCUCCUUCCCGCACGCCUAUAAUUGUGUGGUACCCUUUUGGAGACGGUGGGAGAAGGAUUGCAUGGAAUCGGCAUACGGGACUGCCAUGUGCUGAGAACUUCUCACGCUGCAGUUUGAUACUGCUGCAGAUUUGCCCCCGUGUCACUAUCCAAAGUCCCAGAGGGGCCCUGAGUCAAAUGAAGGAUUAG
rnacentral:lncRNA from 1 species